AAACUUCCGGGUUUGAAUGAUUACAAACAACGGGGAAGUUUUAGUCUGCUGGGCAUUUCCAAACACUAAACUGUUGCUCAUGUGCCACGUUUUCGGGUACCAUAGUUUUGUGGUUAAUGCUACGCAAUAAAAGAUAACUGCAGUGGUGUAGGAGAUUUCAAAAUGGCCGACGACAGCAAUGACUUCCGCCAAUAUCUUCUCUCCAACGGAUUGAACGAAACUACCGUACAGACUCUACUGGACGAGGAAAUCGAGGAUCUACAGACCCUAAGAAUACUUAGCGAAGACGACAUCGAGAAAUUGCAAGAGGCGAGUUUUCAGACCAAACCGGCCGAAAAUCUGAAGCCAUCAAAGCAAACCUGAUGCACGAUGCAAGACUUAUUUCACAGAAUGUUCUUCACAUAGCAGCUGAGCAUGUAAAAACAGGAAACAUCGAAGCAUCAGCGAAUCAGAUCAAACAAGGACAAAGCGAGCUACAAGCCUUAAUGGACAAAUACGGGGCCAUGGCAGCCGCGGAGCCAGAGUCUGAGGCCCCUAGAGGCCGCCACUGUAUCGUGUCAACCGCGGAUACUCUGAUGAGGAGCGUUCGCGAUAUGUUGCAGGACGUGACGGUAGAAAGGGAGACCGAGAAAAAGGAGACCUACGCCGAUAGCAUCAUGAACACCAUGCAGUCUUUGCUGACAGAACUCGAAGGAAGCAAAUCAACACAAGACUUACAUGAACCAGACGGCAAAAACUGGGCGAGGAUUAAAGCUGUCUCAUCUGCCAUUUCUCGCGAGGCACCAACCAUUUCCAGUGACGUGAACACAGAUGUUUACGCUCCACUUCCGAACAUUCGUCGGAUUUCCGGCAAUCUGCAACACCAAAUGGUUAACCUUCAGAAGAAGCGAGAAGCGCGUAAAUCUGCUAUUCCAAGUAUUUUCGAAUGAGUACUUGUUCGCUAUCGGUGACCAACUGUUGAUUUUUUUUAAUUUUGUAUACAAAAUUGUUGUCUCCAGCUUUAUUUAUCCUAAACUUGCAGUUACAGUAUUUUUACCUAUGAUUUUUACGCGCGAUGUUAUUUUGUUUUUGUAAUUUUUUAAAAUAUUUAAACUGGCAUACAUAAAAAAAAUGUUUGAUUGUAUAUAUCAUUAUCUAUUUCUAAAAUUAAAAUGCCUCUUUGCCUGG
rnacentral:misc_RNA from 1 species